GCUUCUGCUUUGUAAUCAUACGGACAGUUGUGCUUGUCAGAGUUAACGGUGAAGUCCACAAAACAAAUUUCCACAUCGGCAGUCAAACCUACAGGGUUUCACCAUGUUGGCCAGGAUGGUCUCGAUCUCUUGACCUCAUGAUCCACCUGCCUCGGCCUCCCAAAGUGCUGGGAUUACAGGCGUGAGCCACCACGCGUCCUUACAGGGAG
rnacentral:lncRNA from 1 species